rnacentral:tRNA from 1 species
GCCCGAUUAGUUCAAUGGGAGAACAACCGGUUCACAUCCGGUAGUCAGAGGUUCGAUUCCUCUAUUGGGUAC